rnacentral:lncRNA from 1 species
UGAGCUGUGGUGUAGGUCACAGACGCGGCUCAGAUCCCAUGUUGCUGUGGCUGUGGGGUAGGCCAGCAUCUACAGCUCUGAUAUGACCCCUAGCCUGGGAACUUCCACAUGCCAUAGGUGCGGCCCUAAAUUAAAAAAAAAAAAAAAAAAAAAAGGAGUGCUGGCUUAUAUCUCCAUUUAUCCUCUAUGGUCUCCCAAUAAAGUAAGAGUUUGGAUAGGAGCACCGUGCCCUCCCAAAAGGACAGCCCCUUCUACUUUCUCUCCUCCUAACCUGAACUUAUUGGACACCCUACAGAAUCAGCUCACCUGUGCCCCUCAAGAACCUCGCUGGAAACCCUUCUGCCAAGCUCAUCUCCUGAUUGAGUCUCCAUGUGGCAAGUGCUCCAGGACUGAUGGGAGAUGA